CCUACGGGAGGCAGCAGUGAGGAAUAUUGGUCAAUGGACGCAAGUCUGAACCAGCCAUGCCGCGUGCAGGAAGACGGCUCUAUGAGUUGUAAACUGCUUUUGUACGGGGGUAAACGCAGAUACGCGUAUCUGUCUGCAAGUAUCGCACGAAUAAGGAUCGGCUAACUCCGUGCCAGCAGCCGCGGUAAUACGGAGGGUCCAAGCGUUAUCCGGAUUUAUUGGGUGUAAAGGGUGCGUAGGCGGGUGGAUAAGUUAGAAGUGAAAUCCCGGGGCUCAACUACGGAAUUGCCUCUGAUACUGUGCAGCUAGAGUGUAGGUGCGGUAGGCGGAAUGUAUGGUGUAGCGGUGAAAUGCUUAGAUAUCAUGAAGAACACCGAUUGCGAAGGCAGCUUACCAAACUACUACUGACGUUGAGGCUCGAAAGCGUGGGGAGCAAACAGGAUUAGAUACCCCUGUAGUC
rnacentral:rRNA from 1 species